rnacentral:tRNA from 1 species
GCCUCGGUAGCGCAGUGGGUAGCGCGUAAGUCUCAUAAUCUUAAGGUCGUGAGUUCGAUCCUCACCCGGGGCA